ensembl:snRNA U4 U4 spliceosomal RNA
AACUUUGUGCAGUGGCAGUAUCGUAGCCAAUGAAGUUUAUCCAAGUUGUGAUUAUUGCUAAUUGAAAACUUUUCAAAGCACUCUAGUUUUUGUUGUAGAGGUCUUUCA